rnacentral:tRNA from 1 species
ACGAAUUUAGCUCAGUGGUCAGAGCAGGACUUAAUUUAUUAAGUCAAGGACGUGGGUUCGAUUCCCAUAUUUCGUU